UUGAAGGAACGGAAGUCAUUCCGCCAACAAUACGAGCGGUUUUGAAUGGGGCCAUAUAUAUAUAUAUAUAAAUGGACCCGAUUAUGUCCACCCCGGUACGGAAGCGGGAUGGGUGUUGUUUCAUCAUCGUGGCCGUUCGUAUAUCCAUGAAUUUAGAUAAUAGAUUCAACGGCUGAGGAUUUGUCUUGGAAGAGCAAUCCAAACUGAUACUCAUAUGACAAUCACCAGGCUAAGAAGUAGGGGUAGCCUAAAUGACCAUUGCUUUCUUUUUUUUUAUAUUACCCAGGCUUUAAUCACCCAGCCGGUUUCUCCUCAGAAAAAUACUCUUUUCUCAACCACACACGAACCAGUUAUACACAUCAAGCAUUUCGACUAUUGUUCUUCGCUGACUUCAGUUCAUCUCCUUCUCCUAGUUAGUUUUUUUUCUUUUCAGUUCAGUAUCAUUUUGGCCUGUGAUUCUUAGUGUUGGGUAAGUGAAAUUCAAGGCUUGGAUACUGAGGAUGGAAAAAGGAAGGCCCUUUAAGUUUACGGCAAGUUGUUGUUUUUCUUCAUUAGUUUAGGUUCUUAUGGAUGAAAUGAAUUUUUAAAAUUUCUGUUUUUGUUGUGUGGUUUAGAAGUAAAUAGGUUGGUCUUAAACAUCAUAUCCACUUUUUUUGGUGGUUGGAUAAGCAAUAUUGAUUUACAGAGGUAAGUACUGAUAUUUUUUUUUAUCUAUUUUUAAGGGUAGGAAAUACUCUCUUUCUCUUCAGUCACAAGCAGAUCACCACUUCAAAAGCAAGGAAUACUUUAUCUUCUCUCAUCUUAGUCCCUGGGUUUUGGGGUUUUCUCUUUUACCUUUCUUGGGACAAGGAGGUGUUCAGUGAUGAUGUUGAAUUGAUGUAAUGGGGUGCAACUUGGUUUGGGUGGUCGUGUUCUAGUUACUUCCUUUCGCUCUAUUACGGGGACAAGUUUUCGGUGUAUAAAGGAAAAGAGAGAGUUUGAUUUGAGAAAGUAUAUCACCAUUAAAGAGAGAAUUGCAGUUCCAUUCCAAUUAUGUAACAACGAAUAUAAUAUUUGCUUUAGUUAGAAAGUUUUUAUAUUUUAUUUAAAAUAUAAUUAAAUAAUUGGAUGUAGUGUAAUUGGCUAUUGUGGAAUAAUGGUGUUCCCACGAAGAAAACAAACAAACAGAUGAUAAUUUUUUU